rnacentral:tRNA from 1 species
UCCCUGGUGGCUAAGAUGAUAAAGAAUCUGCCUGCAAUACAGGAGACCCAGGUUCAAUUCCUGGGCUGGGAA